rnacentral:lncRNA from 1 species
AUCUCUCUCUCCCCCUCCUCUUGUUUCUGUCCCCAUCUCGUCCCUUCUGUGUUUUGGUGUUGAAUUUCAACUCCCCCGCUUUCAGAUUCUCCCUCUCCUCUCUCUCUCUCUCUCUCUCUCUCUCUCUCUAGAAGUGAAAAAGGUUUCUUUUUAAUAUCACCUCUGUAAUUUGGAAGCAAACCGUGUCACAGAUCGAAAGCCACCGAGUUUUCUUCUCAAGAAAGCCAAUUUCUUAGACGACUCAGUCUCUCUCUCUCUCUCUGUCUCUGUACAUUUCUCUCUCUCUCAAGAAAAGAAUCAUUCAUUGCUCACAAACAGAACCCUUUUUUUUUUUUAAUUUUUUAAAAUUUAAUUUAAAUUUAUUUAAUUUCUCAUCCAUUUUUAUAUUCACCCUUCUAUAUUUCUCUCUCUACCUCUCUGUCUGUCAAGCCGUGUUUUUUAUUCAUUGUUUAAUGUGGGGGUUUUGUUUCUUGUAGUGGGUGCCUGAGAAGAGAGAGAGGAAGGAGGAAGGAGGAAGGAGGAAGGAGGAAGGAGGCAAAGCUUUGUUCUUGGGGGGGGGUUUUUGAGUGAUGAGAAAGGCAGAGGAAAUGGUCCUCUGAAGUGGGUCUGUCUCUCUCUUUCCUCUCUUUCUCUCUCUUAUCUAUUUGGAGAGGGAUUGAAGGCUCUCAGAUUGUGUAGUGUGAGUGAGGGCUAUCAGCUAUGGAUACCAAAGGAAGACUUAUUGCAGGUUCUCACAAUAGGAAUGAGUUUGUUCUCAUCAAUGCUGAUGAGGUUUCAAGAGUAAGUCCUUUUCUCUCUCUCUCCCUUCCCCACUCAACCUCUCAAUUUCUGCUACUGCAAAAUGUUAACAGCCUUCCAAAUCUGUACACUUCUACAUUUUGCAGAUGCCCUUUUCCUCAUACUCUCUCUCUCUCACCCUACAUUUGUUAGAUCCUGAAAUUCUACUGGGUUUCUGUUAUUUUCUACCUCUUGAUAGUUAUUUGAAGCAAAAUUACUCUUUCAUCUGAGAUUUACAAGCCGCAAUUACAUAAAUUGGUUGAGGGUUUUUCAGUAUAUAUGGAUUUAAGGGGUCUCCAUUCUAUAAAGCCUGCAAUUUUGUUUCUGAACAGUUAAUUUUGUCGCAAAUCAGCUAGCAGUUGGGGUUUUAGGAUCUAUUGCCCUCUUGGUUUUUGUUGUUUUGUUAAUUGUUUAAUCUUCCUGAUCUGACAUAGAUUGGUAACGUUUUGGAACUUUACGAAUUGCAGGUAACAUCUGUUAAAGAACUGAGUGGGCAGAUUUGCCAGAUCUGUGGAGAUGAGAUUGAGAUUACAGUGGAUGGGGAGCCAUUUGUUGCUUGCAAUGAAUGUGCAUUCCCCGUUUGUAGAUCUUGCUACGAGUACGAAAGACGCGAGGGCAAUCAAGCUUGCCCCCAAUGCAAAACCCGAUACAAGCGCAUCAAAGGUGAGUCUUUCCCCUUUUUCCGCAAUAUUAAUUCCGAGCAUUCAUGAUGAUUCUCGAAAAAGGAAUACUGAAGAUGCAUCUUUUUGAUAGGGAGUCCAAGAGUUGAAGGCGACGAAGAAGAGGAUGACAUUGAUGAUUUGGAGAAUGAGUUUGAUAUUGCAAGCAAUGAGAGGAGAGAUCCUCACAGCAUUGCUGAGGCAGUGCUGGCUGCUCGCCUUAACAUUGGACGGGGUUCCCACGUCAAUGGUUCAGGGAUUAGCACACCAGCUGAAUUCGACUCUGCCUCCGUUGCUUCCGAGAUCCCUCUGCUGACGUAUGGCCAAGAGGUGAAUUGGUUUAACUGCUUCAUGUUCUCUUUGUCAGCAAUUGCAUUAAUUUAUUUGUGUUUGACAAGUUGAAUUUUUUUUUUUUGGUGAAGGAUGUUGGAAUUGCCUCUGAUAAGCAUGCUCUUAUUGUUCCUCCAUUUAUGAGUCGCGGAAAACGAGUUCAUCCAAUGCCAUCUUCUGAUUCCUCUAUGUCCUGUAAGUUCAUUAAAUUCGCAACAAUUUUUGUGGCAGUUGAAUAUGCUUUAAUCGUUCUUAGAGUGUGAUCGAGUGAUUGUGGCCUUGAUGAUGCAGUUCCACCGAGGCCCAUGGAUCCUAAGAAAGACUUAGCUGUGUAUGGUUAUGGAACUGUUGCAUGGAAGGAGAGAAUGGAGGACUGGAAGAAGAAGCAAAAUGAAAAACUUCAGGUGGUGAAGCACCAAGGAGGAAAUAAUGGUGGAGAUAAUAACGGAGAGCCGGAUGAUCCUGAUUUACCAAAGUAGGUGUUCAUUUAGAAUACGUUGAUAUUCCUGUGACUAUCCUGUUAUUUUAUUCAUAAAGUUAAAUGUGAAAUGAUUAUAUGCAUUAGAUUCAGUUUUGAUUUGUUAUUAUGAUUUAGAUCCUAUUGUGUGAAAUUGUAUUAUUUAGGUGUUAGAGAUUGGUUAUGUGUUUUAUUAGUUUACUAUUUUUGUAUUUAUCCUGUUUAAAUCAAUUGGGGAGAGAAGAAUAUGUUGUUACUUGAUAUGAAUCAAAACGGAGGGUUUAGAAUAUAAUUGGUUAAUCAUUGGUAGGUAUCGGAAAAAAGUUUUUGAUGAAAACAACUUACUGUCAUGCAUGUUAGUGGAGAAUCCAAGUGGUGCAAUAUUACUGUCAUGCAUGUUAUAAUUAUGUUUGAACCAAAGAAGGCUGAUGAUUUUACUAUCUGUUUUUGCAGGAUGGAUGAAGGCAGGCAGCCGCUUUCGAGGAAGUUGCCUAUUUCUUCGAGCAAGAUAAAUCCUUAUAGGAUGGUAAUCUUACUCCGUCUUACAGUUCUUGGCCUCUUUUUUCACUAUAGAAUUCUCCACCCGGUCAACAAUGCCUAUGGACUCUGGUUAACUUCUAUAAUAUGUGAGAUUUGGUUUGCCAUGUCAUGGAUAUUGGAUCAGUUUCCUAAGUGGUAUCCAAUUGAGAGAGAAACAUACCUUGAUCGAUUAUCACUGAGGUAGCCACCUCUCUCUCUCUCUCUCUCUCUCG